UCCCCCGACUUUAUUGUACUACGUAUUUAUUGGUUACCAUUUAGUCUUGCGACGGAGUACCAGGUGCUGCAUGGUUGUCGUCAGCUCGUGCCGUGAGGUGUAAGGUUUAGUCCUUAUACGAGCGCCACCCUUCUUAUUAGUUGCCCUCGCGUAGUGUCGGGGGCUCUAAUAAGACUGCCGGCGUAAGCCGCGAGGAAGGCGGGGGCGACGUCAAAUCAUCACGGCCCUUCCGUCUUGGGCCCCCCCCGUGCUACAAUGAUCGGUACAAAAGGGAGCGGCUGGGUGGCCAGGAGCAAUUCUAGAAAGCCGAUCUCCGUUCGGAUUGGAGUCUGAAACUCGACUCUUUGAAGCUGGAAUCGAUAGUAAUCGU
rnacentral:rRNA from 2 species